CCAAGGUUUAGCUCUGUGCCUUUGGGUUCUUCCAGUAAAAGAUAGAUUUUUUGGUUCUGAGUUAAAACUCUUGCAAACUUGUCUCCUCGAAGAUGUAUUUUGCUUCCUUUUCUUGCUCUGCAUUAAUUUAAGUGUUCUUGCAAUUGUGAAAAUUAGAAACUGGUUUUUCUGUAAUGGCAACUCAGGUUCUUAUUUACUAAAUGAAUCUGGGAGCUGAAGCUCUAAGCAAACCACAAACUACCAUGAGAUUUAUUAAUAAAAUAUGAGAGCCAAAAUUAUGUACAGCCUUAUUCAUUGCUUUCUAUAUUUUCAUCUUGUUCCCUCUUAUUGUCCCCUCUCUGCGAUGACUGAAACAAAUCAUUCAGGUCUAGAUCUCUUAUUAUAAUACCCACAAAGCCUCCUUGCUAUUGUUUUGGCCAAAUUAAAAACAUUUGUCAAGAGUAAUUGUGGAAUGGCAUAAAAAUUCAUCUUUAUUUUGCUGAUGAGGACUUAAUCACUUCUAUCAUGAUAAAUGAUUCUUUAUGUUAGGUAAUAAGUUUAUAUAUAUAUAUUUAAUAAAAAAUAUUGUUUAAAGGUUGACAGUUUUGGUGGUCCUUGUGACAUUCUCCUCUCACGGAAAUUUUUCCUGAUCUCCCUGGAUGUUCUCAGAAGCUUGUUCUCUGUUUUCCCACGUCAGAUUUCCUAAAAUGUCUUCAUCCUGCCCUUUACACGGUACAAGUAUGGCACACUUACUUCUAUCUUUAGCUCCAGUCUGAUAAAUUAUUCCAUUUCUCAGUCCCAUCUUCAGUCUCCAGGUGCUGUGAUCAUAUUUUCGGCCUUUCAGACUCUAAAGAAAGCUCUGUAACUAUUAGAGAAACCUUCUCUUCAGUCAUCAUCCCAUUUACGCUCCCUGUAUUGAUUUUGGUGAGUUAAAUGUAUUGUGAUGUUCGGAGAUGGCCUAAACCCUCCUUCAGCCCCAAAAUGUGGGCUCCUCCAGUGCUCCCAAGGUGAAACCUGUGAAACCUUGCUUCUUUUGUGACGGGAGCAUAACACGGGGGGGAAUUUUUGGUAGGACUUUUGAGCGUGACCAGCACCCAGCAUUCAAAACAACCCACAUCAGGCCAAACACAAAGUGUGAGACUGUCUUUAAGUCAUUAAAAAGAUCCAGAAUGAUUCAUACCUGCCUUUUAUUCCUGAGCCUCUCAUAUUUACUUGCUUUUGUCUUUUCAACCUUUGCUUUACCAGAAGGAAAAAUAUAACUUCAAAGGGGGAAGGAGGACCAAAGAAAAUGCCUGGAUUUCAGGAGCUGGGCCUCUCAGACACACACCAAGAAUCCUGAAUCAUAAAGUCCAGAGACACAGCGAACAGAGCACAAGACCCAUGAACUUUCGAUCUGGGGCCAAACCAUGGGCAUGAGCCGUGCCGAUGCUAGGAGAGGCUUGGAGUGACCGGAGCUUGAGGAGGCAGGAACCAGCAGUGCUUUAUGCAGGACGUACAUCAGCCAAAACAAAUGGUCUCUGAGACCUCUUUAAAACAUUUCCCACCAAAUACUCAAAUGCAGAACUUGUUUAAAACAAAAAUGUUCAUGCGAGGCAAUAAGGGAAGAUUUAAUUUAAAUCCACAGAAGCACCUCAUUGUGUUUGCUUGCUGAUGACUUCACUAACAGUUGAAACUAUAAAAUAUGCAUUGGUAAAAUGUAAGUUAAAAUGUUCAUCUUAAGGUAUCAGAGCUGAGCUUCAAUCUAGCUACUGCAGCAUAGUAAUACAUGAUUUUACGAACAGUUAUAGAUUAAUUUCAUAUAUAUAUAAGCACCAAUAAUGGUACUGUAUUACCAAGUUCAUCUAAAAUGAAAAAAAAAAAACAUUUUGGACAGGCAAUACUCGUAACCAAGAAGCUGCACACAUAAAGGCAGCUAUUGGACGAAUAAUUGGUCCGCAAUUACAAGCAAACACAGCGUUUUGUUGUUUACCCUUGCCCUGCAAUGGCUGCUGGCUUUUAGCAUUUGCAUGAUGACAUUUUUUUUUCUCUGAAGGAAAAAAAUAGCGCUCCCAUGGGGGAGCUUUACCCGCCUCCCAUGUGGAAUUGACUUUUUGUGGAGCAGAUUGUCCCAUUUAUUAUUAUUCAUACCUUUAAAGAGAAAGAAAAUUCUUUCCUUACUCAGCCCAAUAAUGAUAUAGGAGGGUGGGAAUUAAAAAAAAAAAAAAGAAUAAAAAGAAAGAAGCAAACCUCUCACUUGCCACUUCUGCCAGCAAGCCUGCUCAAUUCACAUCAAGGCCAGCAAUUUUGUCCUUUUGUGCUUCUCCUCCUGUUUGUUGGAGAUCAGCACCAGACACUGCUCUGGCCUGGAUUCUUUCCCUGCAUUAUCAGAAGUCUGCCCUUCCCUUGUGAGAGCUGAAAUGAUGCAUGCCAAUAAAAGAAAAGCAAAUUUUCUCUGGUCUGGAGGAGCCAGUUUGUCACUAAGACUUCGCUAUUAGUUAAUACAAGUAGAAACGAUAUGCAAACAUACAGGAUUUCAGCUACUGUGACAAUAAUUGAGCUGCUGUCCUCUUUCUGUUUGCAUUCCGUAACCCAGUACAGCAGGAAAAACAAUUGUUCCUUAAAACGUUAAAAACUUAUAUGCAAAAAGUGCUGGUACCCAGCGAUUUCACAGCAUGCAGACUGCUAAUUGCCUCUCCUUCCACUUGGCAGAGGAAGGCAUCUGGAGCAUUUAUCUCUAGUGCACCGUACUGGGGAAUAUAUCAGUUUGUAAAAUAGAGCAGGACUACAAAGAAAAGCGCUGAAUGCACGUGGUGUCAUUUUGUAAGUAGCCUUACAGUGAACAUACUCCACUCUAGCAUAGCACACGUUUAUUAUUCUGCAAUAUAGGUCACAGUCAGAGCUUACAGGUCGUAUUCAGUGCUGGAAGAUCUACAAAGCUUCCUCAAUGAGAUCAUUGAUCUGCAAGCUCCACCAUUAUAAUCCUUUUUCCUCUUUUUAUUUUCAAAUUAUAGCCUUUUCUCAAACACAGUGCAAUCAUUUCUGCAGCAAAUUCAAGUCACUCUGCAUAUAGCAGUACUAUUGACUAAAUUACCGCAUCCCGUAUUUAUUUCUGUAUUUGCUGAUGACCUUAAAUAAAGUCUGAAUUUGCUGGCACAAGGACAUUCUCAUUGACACACAGAUGAUAAACUUUCAUCUCCACAGCGCAUCAGGAAGAUGGAGCGUAACAUUCCAUCCACCCAUCACUUCAGCCUAAAAGUCAGUCUUGUUAGGACGCAUUUUCUUCAUAGGAUGCAAAUCCUCUCAGAUCAGGUGUCUGUUAUUUCUCCACCAUACAGAGUUCUUACCCUGCCCAGCCAUAACUUUUGUAGCACUAUCAAACUGAGUGAAACCUGUUUAUCUUUGCAAACUUUUUUUUUUUUUUUUAAACAAACGUGCCAGAACACGUCUGGACAAUAUGAAGAUAAUGAAAGCAUCUCUGGCCCACCACGUGGCAGAAGAGCAGUGUGUUUCUGGUUGGCAGCUUGGAAAAACUACAAACAUGGUAAGCAAGGGGCUAGGAAAUAGGAUAACUGCAGGCUACAAAGUGAGAGUUUGUAAGCAGCAAGGGUGUGGGGGUUAUUGAAAGCAGAGGGUACACAACCUAAUGCAAGUCUCUAAUGACCUAAGUUGUCUUUUUUAGUAGCACAGUAUUGAAAUAUCAGAUAAGUGUGGAACGCACUCAGCAGAAACUUACUAAGAACUUAGCACAUUUUAGUAUUUUCAAAAAUAUAUAUAUUUAUUGCAGUGUGUGAAAUAAGAGAAUACUGCUGUCAGGUGUCACCUAUCCUACAUUAAAGAGGUUUAGAACCAGCUUCUUUUCCCUGCAGAAGAGCCCUGUCCAUCCACAUCACUAGUUCUUUACUUGCCAGGCUACUUCAGUUCCAUUAACCCAAAGUAAGAGCUGUGAUGGAAAAAGGUUGGCAUACCUUUCUUCAUCUAUACCUGCAAAAGCCUGUUGCUUUUAUACCAUAGAUUUAUAGAAUGGCUUGGGUUGGAAGGGCCCUUAAAGCCCAUCCACUUCCACCCCCCUGCCAUGGGCAGGGACACCUCCCACCAGACCAGGUUGCCCAAAGCCCCAUCCAGCCUGGCCUUGAGCACCUCCAGGGAUGGGGCAUCCACAGCUUCUCUGGGCAAAUAUACAGUCAGAAUGCUGUUGUAAGGAGUAUAUAUGGGCUAGAAUUCAGAUCCCCUACUGAAUGUAAACAUCACAGAACCUCAAUGCCUAGAAAUCCGUUAAAGGAUGUUGGUAACACUGCCUGGUGGUCUCGAAUAGACUAAUAUAAGGUAGUAAGUAGCCUCUUGAAAAUAGACAAACAGGAGGAUCUGUAAAGACAAGGUAUUUGAACGAGGUUAGACUUGUGAAAGUAAUUUAUUAUCAACCACCAGCAUGGUUCUGUUCCUGUGACCCAUCUCCUACAAUCAGCUCUCAAACAUCUUUGAGCAGGGGCUUGGAGAAAGCAGGUCUGGAAAGUGGGAGCAGCUGUUCUGGAGCAGGGAUAGUUUGUCAUGCUGGGUGUAUCCAUGGAGAAACGGAAAAAUACUUCUAAAUAUCAUCACGACACUGCAUACGAUGUGAAGUAUGCAUUUAUUCAGUUAUUUCCAUCCCUCCCCAUAAUUCACAGGUUGACAAUGUGUAAUCCCAUUAGUGCAGACCAAACACCAAGCAAGACAUGAGACUCGGGGAAGUGGUACAGUCAAAGUGUUCAGUUGAGGCUGAAAAAGCAAAGCCCCCGCUUCCAGAUCUGUCCCCAGUUUUGGGCAGCUUACCAGCAAGUGUCACUGUCUACCAAACAGAGGAUAAAGGUAUUAACAUUCUUAACAUACACAUACCUGUGUGCAUAUGUAUAUAUAUGUACAUAUACACAAAUACUUGGCAUCUGUGAACACUUUUAAAAAUAAAAACAGAACGUCAUAAACCCAAAUCUUGUUUCAGUUACAUCCAUGUAUUUUCCUUCUGAUGAUCCCAACCAAAAGCCAUAUAUGCACAACAUGAAUGUAGACGGCAUGGUGCCAAAAAUGUCACCAUGGGAAGCCACAGUGGAACACUUCAUUAAAAAACAAACAAAAAAACGAAAGUACAUUCCAAACUGAACAAGCAACACUUGUUGCAAAUCAUUUACAACUGAAGAAUUAGACAGCAUUUGUCUAGGAACUUGGAGUACUAACUGAUGAACACCAACCACUUACAGGCAUGCAGGCUUCCGUGGAGCUUGGGCAUCCGGAUUUUCCCCUGUAGCCAUGGGUUUUUGAACUGGAACAACUUGAAUUUGAAGCAAGAACACUUGAGAUUUCAAAUAAAAGCCCUGAAAGGUAAUAGGAUUUUAAACAAACAUCCUUCACAUGGAGUUGCAUGUCACUAGAGGACAGAACUUCCCGAGUUCGAAGGAAAGAAGCAGAUUACACUUUUCUAGCCAGUCCAACGAAUCCUGAGUGCACUCAUGAGAGCCUCCACGUCCUUGAUCACUUUUUGGCAGGGUAAAUUAACCCUUGCUGAGCCGAGCACUGCAUCACAUGCGCUGCUUCUAACUAGACCUGCGCAUCUGCACUUAGAGCUAACUUGAUGGUGACCAGGUAUCACCAGGUAUUCCUUGUGACUGACAGCACGGACUAGGUGCUCUUUUUUUCAGCUUGCUUCAUGAAACCUAACCAUUACAGCCACCUGCUUUGACUUGUCUCAUAACCCUUUACGAUGAGCUGGACUAACAAAGGUACUCCUCUCUUUCCAUAGGUGGGCGUUCCCUGCUACACAGGCAGCUCCCCUUUUGUCCCAUGCCCCGAAGGAUGAGGUAUCUAUUCCCUUCAAGCUAGCAACAAUUCUUGAUGAGGGACCAACAUUUAAUGAAAAGUACCUUGGGUUUGUCUACUAGAGCAAACCAUCCUGCUUCUUAUUGCACAGUAAGCAGCACAAAUCUCUAACAGGAUUUCUGUUACUGAACAACUGCAUAAACAUACAAAGAAUUACUGCUGCCUUUUUGGUUUUUUAAGCACAUGACUUAGAAUACAGUUCAGAUGUGAGCACUAUAUAAAAAUGCAUCAUGAGUGCCUAACAAUCGUGCUGAUUUUCAAGUCAAGUGUUCUUACUGUACAAGAAAAAAGAGGCUUUAAAAAUGCAAAGCUUGCAGAAUACAAAAAAGAUUUUGUCUUUGGAACUGAGACUGAUAAUCAUGUCUGAUCGGUACAGGUCUCCAUCAAUGUUAUAUCAACUUGAUAAUAGAACAACAAAAAGCGAAUGAUAGAAAUAAGACUUUGAUCUAACUCUGAAUAUGGAUAGGUAGAUUUGAAAGCAUUAGGAAAUAAAUUUGCCUUCCCCCUCUUUUUUUUAAACUAUGCUCAAUUGAAUCAACUAUAUGAAGUGGUUUGAAAAAAAAUAAAAGCUGCAGAUCCAUCAUGGACUAUAAUGCAAAUAAUUUUUAAAUGUUCCCAUAUACCAGAUAUCUACGUCUGUUAGGAGAAGGAAAAUGUUGAGCUCACUACAAGAGUGCUCUCAUUUUAAAUACAAACAAGCAUGGUGCUCUGGAGCAUGAGAACCUAUGCAUAUGAAACUCAAAAAAAAAAAAAACACCCAUGAUGAUUAAACUUUAAAGUGGUCUAUUUUUUAUCAUACUUUGAAAAAAAUGUUUAAAAUCAAGUGUUGAAAAAUGCUGAGCCUCUUACUUUGCUUUACAGCCACUAGGUAACACUUCCACCUUCUUAAUUUAGGCUGGCCACUGCAGAAAGCUGCGUGCCUGUCUCCAAAAAGAAACAAAUGAGAAAACUCAACACUGUCGUAAGUACUUCAGAGACAAGUGCAAGUAUUCUAUAAAACACGAAUGGAAGUAAGCAGAGGGGAGAAGUCAUCCCAUAUAACUUCAGGUGCCUUGGGGUGCGAUGUGUGCCAGGGAAACCGAAGCUCCCAUUACACUCAGAGGAAUCGUGACCAGUCCCACCUCCAGAGGGCGAUUGAUCCAACUUCUCUCACAGGCCUCUUCCUGAACGUGAUGGAUCUGUGCUGUAGAUGCCCGUUUUGCUCGGGGACAGAUGAAUCCUAUUCCAAGCAUAAUACUUUCCCCUUUCUGAUGUGCAAAUCAGGCAUACUGACAAACAAUACUGGCUUUGAAUGACGUUGCAAGACAGAGGCUUGUGACGAUCAUGGUGCAAAGAUUUAAAACCAUUAUUUUCAGUCCUGCAGCUCAGAAAGAUAUCCAAGUCUGUACUAAAAUUUGCUGUCUAAUCUACUGUAGUGGCAACUGUGGUGUAUCUGUAGCCUCGUCUUGCAGAAAUAGACAAAAGAUGCACAUUUUAUUGCUCUACAAGAUCUUGCGAAACUACUUUUCAACUACAAAAUGAAACUACUUUUUAUUAGCCCUACCUCUUCUAAAAUCACAUUUUUGUAAAAUCAAACUACAACACUUAACUCCUUUUCACACAAAUCCCAUAAGCUAAAGCUACGAAAUAAUACAUAACUCUCUCCUGCAAGCCUGAACCUCUCCGUAAUGUUAUAUUAACAGCUAACUUGCAUGUAAAUUGUGUCACCUACACACUUUUUUUUUUUUUUUAAUGGCUGGAUAUUGAAUGAGACUUGAUCUGAAAAACAACCGAGAAAUACAACAGUCAAGGAAAACACAGGGGCAACUGAACUUAAAAGACAGAUUUAUAAAGUAGUAAGGGGCGAAGAGCAAAGUAACAACAACUCUCAGUUUUAAAAGAGCUGUAGAGCACUUACCUGAGAGGCAGAUGCAGUGCCGUACCCCUACCCACAAAACAACAAUGACUGACAGAGCAAUUGGAGCAUAAACUGAACCUAAGGCUAAUCUGUCCUUCUCCCUGUAAAGACAAAAAUUAUAAAUAUCUAUAUAUAAACACACACAUACAUUAAAAAAGCUAAAUAAACUCUGAUUUUAGGAAAACUUCCAUAUCCACGCAUACCUUUAAAAAAGCAACCAGAUCAAUAUUAAAGCAUCUAUUUACUCUCACUAACAACUAAAAAGAUGGGGGAGGAAGGGAAACCUUGUAAAAAGAAUAAACUGUUUUACCUAAUUCAUACAUAACCCUACAGUCCAGGAACCUCUCAAGCUGAAGGAUAAUUUCAGCAACUGCUGCAAAGUCCAUCUCCAAGUUAAGGAUAAUUUCAGCAAUUGCCAUGAGCUACAUCUCCUAAC